rnacentral:tRNA from 1 species
UUAAUUGAAACCAAAAAAGAGGUAAAUUAUUGUUAAUAAUUUAAUUGAAAAUUUAAUUCCAAUUAAG